GCACUUCGCAGCUCCCCCUUACCCUGGGCUGUAUUCCACUGGCAGGCCCGGUGCUGCCCUUCGGGGUGCUGCUCUGCCGGCUCCCGGCCCCACCCUGGGCUGCGCGGCCAAACUGUCGGGGUUCUGCUGCGUACCUGUGCCACUGCGGUUCAGUCUGGGCCAUUAGCGUAGAUACUCUGCUGUUCCCUGCAGGGAGUGGAAACCUAGCAGCAGGGCCUGCAUCAGAUCUGUCAGAGCUCGCCUGCCAGCCUGUGUCUACCCUGACCGAGUCAGGAUUGUUACAGUGUGUAAAUGUUUCCUUUAUUUCUGAUUAGAACUCAGCAAAACCACACGGGAAGAGACUGGAGUGAAAUGCUGGUAAUGGAGAGCAUUCAGAACAGGUGUUAUAAAGAACAGAGAAGAGAGGUACCUGAUUUUAAAAGUGGUUAGAAAGAGUUGCUGCAUUAAGAGAAAGGGCAGCUGUUGGAAUUGGAUGGUAUUUCCAGAAGCUGUGUUCACUCUCACAGAGCUGGGAGGGGAGGGGUUAUAGGUGGGUGAGCAAACAGGAGGACCUUGUGGUGGUGUUUUAUGCCAAUACUGAGGCUUCCUGCUGGACUCUGCCAGUUGUAAAUGCACCCUCAAGACAGGCAUGAUGACAAGUCAUACCCCAUGGGUUAGGGCUAGAACUACUAAUCAUCACUUCAAAAGCUCUACUGCUGGAGAAUUCAAAAUCAAGCAUGUCUGAUUUUCCUAUUCUGGAAAAUACUGAAACCAGAGAAACAUCUGUCUUCCUAAAUCUGCAGCUGAAGAACUCUAAUGCUGCUGGUUUUAGCAGCAGAUUAACAUUAUACUUAAUGCCGUAAAAUAACAGAAUUUCUCUGUAUGCAUGUUGCAGUUCUUGCCCCUUUGAGCAGCAGUGUCAUCAUCUGCAGUACUGAUUCUUGGAAACUCGAGUUGUUAAAUAUAGAGGUUAGGAGAUUUGGGCAGGCACAAGUAGAUCAUUGAUGGCUCUCACCCUACUGCAUCGUAAGCCUUAAGCAUCCAAAAAGGAAAAAUUGUGUGCUGUGUGUCCUUAGCGAGGACGUGGCCUUCCCCUGUGCAGUUGGUAGGAGAUCAUCCUCAUGCUUUUCUAGCAGCUAGGUGAGAUUUCUAGUUUAGAAUUUUUCCUGUACUACUUCUAACAAGAAUCCAUUUUGUUUUCAUUAGUGAGAGACGGUAACUUUCCUCAAUUUUUUAUUCUUUCUCAUGUACUCUUCAAAAGACAGCUGGGGUUUUCUCCAUUUUGGAUAAUGCUUACUGAGCUUCUGAGUUGUAUCAUCCUACUGCCACUGUAAAUUUCUGCAUGAAAAAGGAUUCAGAGCAAUGACACAAAUAAGAACAGCAGUGAGCCAGUGUGUUCACCCUCUCAGAAGGUAGAAUGAGCUUCUCCUGGGAUAAUCCUGAGUUCGCAGAUUGCACACUGCAGGGUACUGUUCUAGAAGGCUGUGCUUGUAAAGGAGAAGUUGCUAGGUGCUGAUCGUUUUCUUCCGUAGUAGAAAGACUGGUUGUAGGUGGGUGAAAUAGCAACUUGCAUCAGAAUGAGGCUAUGGAAACACUUUACCUUUUCUUUCUGUUCAGUACAGGUUUAAUUCCCUUGCAUUCUGUGGCUUUGUCUCUACUGCAUUGGGUAAUAAUGACCUUAAAGGACUGUAAAGUAACAAAGGGAGAAAAAAGUCAAAAUCCUUACUCUUGCAUAUAUUGAGGUGUGUGUGUAUAUAUACACACGUAUAUAUAAAACAUAUAUAUUGAUUACAUGUAUAUUACAUACAUAUAUAUAUAAAAUGCUUAGUCUUGCAUAUAUUGUCUAUUAGUCUGUGGCCAGCUGCCUUUUUCCAGUAAAGAUAAGGAGCUGAUGAGAGGCUACAGACAUGCAACAGGAAACUAUAAAAUGGUAGUGUGAGUAGCACCGGAAGAGAAUAAUGCUUCUGGGGAGACUGUAAUGCAUCAUGCUAGGAAACGGUCCUGAAAUCAUGCCAUACACUUUUAUGUGAGAGAGAAGUAUUAGCAGGGCUGUUCUGAAUGUGGCACAACUUGGUCUAGUGACUGCUGCAGUAGUGCUGAUGUGCAACCCCACAUUCAGCUGAGCAUCACUGAAGUCUCUGGCAAAGGUUUGAAUGACUAAAAUGAUGAAGAAGCGAAGCUUAAGUGCAGAGCCCUUUUGUCAUUAAGUCUUUCCAUUUAAUAUUGUACUUAACUAAUUUCAGAGAUGGGUGUAUAAGGCUUUUGCUGAAGAGAAUGCUCUGCUACUGUCCAGAUUGUCACAGUAAAAUAUCCUAUCUUGCUGCCGUUGUUGCUUUUCUUUAAGAUACCUACUAGUAGUGCGAUAGCUGAUGCAGGUUGCUGAUGGAAGUUUGAUGCGGACCCCAGCAAAUGUUACAGCUCCUUAUAGCCACAAUGGCAACGUCAUCUGAAGAAGUGUUACUGAUUGUAAAGAAGGUACGUCAGAAGAAGCAGGAUGGAGCUCUCUACCUUAUGGCUGAAAGGAUAGCAUGGGCACCUGAAGGCAAAGACCGAUUCACAGUCAGCCAUAUGUAUGCAGACAUAAAAUGCCAGAAAAUCAGUCCAGAAGGUAAAGCUAAAAUUCAGCUUCAGCUAGUGUUGCAUGCAGGGGACACAACCAACUUUCACUUCUCCAAUGAAAGCACAGCAGUGAAGGAACGAGAUGCGGUAAAGGAUCUUCUUCAACAACUGUUGCCCAAGUUCAAAAGGAAAGCUAAUAAAGAACUUGAGGAGAAGAACAGAAUGCUGCAAGAAGAUCCUGUUUUGUUUCAGCUCUAUAAAGACCUUGUUGUGAGCCAAGUAAUCAGUGCUGAAGAAUUCUGGGCCAACCGUUUAAGCAUGAAUGCAGGGGAUAAUUCUGCAGCACCUAGUAAGCAGGAUGUGGGCAUCUCUGCAGCAUUUCUGGCUGAUGUACGGCCUCAAACAGAUGGCUGCAAUGGUCUGAGGUAUAAUUUGACUUCAGAUAUCAUUGAAUCCAUAUUUCGAACAUAUCCUGCAGUAAAAAUGAAAUAUGCAGAAAAUGUUCCACAUAACAUGACUGAAAAGGAAUUCUGGACACGAUUUUUUCAGUCUCAUUAUUUCCAUCGGGACAGGCUCAAUACAGGCUCAAAAGACCUCUUUGCCGAGUGUGCCAAACUGGAUGAAAAAGGGUUAAAAGCAAUGGUGUCUCAAGGAGUAAAAAACCCCCUGAUAGAUUUAACAGCUUUGGAUGAUUACACAUUAGAUGAAGAAUAUGUUGCUUCUAUGGCCUCUACAUCAAAUGCCUCAAAAUCUGCUAGAGAAAGUAGCACCACUGCCAUUAUAAAACGCUUUAAUCAUCAUAGUGCCAUGGUCCUUGCAGCUGGCCUCAGGAAACAAGAAGCACAAAAUGACCAUUACAGUGAGACCAGCAGUACGGAUGGAAACUCCAGGGAUUCAGAUUUCUUUCAGCCACCAAUUAAAAAGGUGAAACUGCAGGAGGCCAUUGAAUAUGAAGAUUUAUCAAAGAAUAAUAGCAUUAAAACUAUUGCACUAAACUUGAAGUCUGAUAGGUAUUAUCAUGGUCCAACUCCAAUUCAAUCGCAGCAAUAUGCAACCAGUCAGGAUAUAAUUAAUUCUUUUAAUAGUAUUAGGCAAGAAAUGGAAGCAUAUGUACCCAAACUAACUCAGGUCCUUUCAAGUGCUGAUGCUGCUAGCACUAUUGCAGCCCUGUCACCUGGAGGAGCACUUAUGCAGGGUGGAACACAGCAAGCCAUAAACCUGAUAAAGGAAAUUAUGGAAACAUGUAGCUGGAGUAAUACUGGGCUACAGUAGCAAACAAAAAGCAACAACCCAGUCACACCAUGAGGGUGGUGCUGGCUACACCGCUGCUGAGAGAUGGUGCCAAAUGACAUUCAGUCUGAACUAAAACACUUGUAUGUGGCAGUAGGGGAACUGCUACGACACUUCUGGUCCUGCUUUCCUGUUAACACGCCAUUCCUAGAAGAAAAGGUUGUGAAAAUGAAGAGCAACUUGGAAAGAUUUCAGGUUACAAAGCUCUGCCCAUUCCAAGACAAGAUUCGGAGACAGUAUUUAAGCACAAAUUUGGUAAGUCAUAUAGAAGAGAUGCUGCAGACGGCCUACAAUAAGUUCCAUACGUGGCAGUCCCGGCGUAUGCUGAAGAAGACGUGAAAGUGCAUGCUGUACAGGUUUGAAAGCAAAAUCUGCAAUAGGUGUAGGAGUACAACCUAGCAUAUGUGCAGAUCUUGUAGUUGUUGCAGGAAGACCUGCAAGCUGCGGACUUCUGGAAAUGAUGCUAACUGAACUUGCACAUUUUUGAAAAAGAACUGAGAUUAAACUUGAAAACUAGGGAGAAAACCAAGGAAGAACCAAAACAGAAGAGCCAAGGCGCAAAAAUAUUUAAAAGACACUGUUUACUGCAGUUACUCAGGAACUGCUUUUGAUUUGCAUAAAGAGCUGCUUUCAGAAAUAAAAAAUUUAAAGAGGGUGUAUUAAUAAAAUCCAUUUUUCUGUCUAAUUUUUUUUUUUUUAAGAAGUGUAUGGCACAGGGUAGAACUCAGAACCUUUCCUUCACUGGAUUCUGACAUUUUACUGAAUUCUGUACUUUCUGCAACAGUUUAAGAAUGAUAUUUUGAAGUACAGCUGAGACUGGUUUUGCUUCAAACAUCUGGGAGAGUGUAGCUGUCGGAAGACAAGCUUCUGCCAUGUUUCCCCACCAAUUGGAAGCAAGAGACAUUGCACUGAAAGCUGUUUGUGGUCUGGGGUCCCUGAAGGCACAUGGGGGCAAACUUUUGCCCAGAGUCUUGGAUUUUUAUGCAGAAUUUUUCCAGCCAUGGGUUUUGCAUGUUUUCCUUUGUGUGCUACUGCAGUCUUUUUUUUUCUUCUUUUUUUUUUUUUUUUAAGGUGGUACUCGUUCUGAGGAGAGAAUGCAUUUUUAAAAAUGAAGUUAAAUAAAGUUUCUUACAAAAGGCGGCAUUUAUUUUCAAUUCUUAGACAUUUUUUAUUUCUUCUCCUAAAUCUGUUUUCCUUCACUCUUCCCUUUUGACUGUUACACUAUUUUUGGCGAAUUGAUAAUCAUUGCAAAGAGAAAAAUGUGUUAUUUACCUAAUGUCCAUAGAUACUGGGCAUCUGUGCCAUACUUUAUUCCAAAUCGAAUCAGUUCACAGUUUCAGACCAACAUGUCUUGUAUUAAAUGUGACUUACUUAAAUGCAAAGUGAACCCGUUUUCUAUAAUAUAUGCAGUUUAAUGACAUCCUUGUAUUUUGUUGUCAUCUUGACUGUACUAAAGCCCAGUAUGGGCUACAGAACUUUUUUUACUUCUGACUAAAUGUGACUGUUAGAGUAUAAGAUGCAUUUACUACAAAGACAAAUCAGAGUGAGAGUAUGUAUUCAAAGCAAGCACAGCAGUGUUCAGCACGGCAGAAGAAACUUCCCUUAGCCUGCAUGAUGGCUUUAAUACUAGAUUUUGCCACCAUUGGCAUGAUGCUAAAACAUGGUAUUAUGACGUUGGGUGGAUAACUUGGAAAUUCCUACAGAAGAUGUAUUUGUAUAGCCAAGUCUGUGCUUGUUCUGUGCUGCUGCUCCAUUUAUGCAAGAGGGGUUUUUUUCAACUGGUGCGUGGAAAUCAGCAGCUUCUUUUUAACUUUUUUUUUUUUAUUAUUAUUUUUGUAUUAUGCUAAUAUUUUGGUAAAAGCUGAGUUUCAGUAAAUGUCACUGUCUGCAUCAAAGUUCUGUUUGGAAAUGUAAUGCGUAUUGUUAAGCCUAGUUUCCCUGUCUGCUUCUGCAGAUAGAUACAUGAUACCUGCUCUGUGAUGUUCAUGUGGUUCUGCUACCAGAAAUGACUGGGCUCAACGAGUUAUUUUUGACAGGGUGAAAAUGUCAUUAGGAAUAAACAGAUGUAUGUACAGCAAUUGGGGGAUGAGGUGUAUAUCUUGUCAAGAGUUACCUCUUGUGAUAAAUAAACUGUCUAAAAUUUAGGUUUAAGGUAUGGCUUUAUUAAGCCUAAUCCUUUUGUAAGUGCAGGCAGCUCCCAGAAAGAAAGGGUAGUUUUGUUCUCCCCCACUCCAAAGCGCUUGAUCUAGCAAUUCUGCAGCCAAAUUUCAACUGUUUAGUCAAAGCUGUAACACCUUUCAUCAUAUCAGAGGGCCAGGUUCAAGAAAAUACAUCUGGUUUAUAUUCUAACUGUGCCUGAAGCUAUGAACAACACAUUUGAGUAUGAGACUGCACUGAGACUUCAUUUUAAAAAAUCAUAGACAGGAGAGUUUUGAAUAUUCACCUUUUAUUUGAAUCAGUAUUUAGUGUUCCUGGAAAGACUGGGCAAGAUGGUCGACACAGUGGAAGUGUUUCAGUGCAUCACAGGAGCGUUUUACAGUUCAAAGGACUGUUUAUAAUCAUUAUGGGGGAUGGUGUUGCAAUAGCUUUAAGUUAUUAUAGCGAUAUCAGGCUAUCAAAAUGGACCUUAAUUAACAGAACUGGGGGGGCGGGGGGGGAGACGACUAUGAUACUAAAUUCAACAGUUUUGCCUACGGACUGUGCAGGCAAGGCUGCUAUGCACUUCAUAUUGCUUUUUCAGGUAUUGUGGCAAUAAGGCACAGGCCCCUCCUAAAGUGAAGGAGGUAAACUAAAUAUUCUUCUACAUUGUGUUCCCCUUUUCUGCAGCACGGUCCAAAACCCAGAUUCAUUCCUUAAGUUUUGAAACUGAAUCAUCAUGCAUUAUAUUACUAUUGGAAUCUUUAUACUGACUUGUAUUUUUAAUGAGAAUUCAUAAAACUUGUAUCAUUGGCAUUGAUCUAAGAUUUGUAGAAUAAACCCUACUGAAUUCUAAAGUGAA